CAAUAGCGUAUAUUAAAGUUGUUGCAGUUAAAAAGCUCGUAGUUGGAUUUGUGGCUGUCACGGGCGGCCUAUCACUUAGUGUUAGUGCUUGCCUGUGUCGCCAUCCUUGGGUGGAGCCCGUGUGGCAUUAGGUCGUCGUGCGGGGGAUGCCCAUCGUUUACUGUGAGAAAAUUAGAGUGUUCAAAGCAGGCUUAUGCCGUUGAAUAUGUUAGCAUGGAAUAAUAAGAUAGGACCUCGGUACUAUUUUGUUGGUUUGCGCACCGAGGUAAUGAUUAAUAGGGACAGUUGGGGGUAUUCGUAUUUCAUUGUCAGAGGUGAAAUUCUUGGAUUUCUGAAAGACGAACUACUGCGAAAGCAUUUACCAAGGAUGUUUUCAUUAA
rnacentral:rRNA from 1 species